rnacentral:rRNA from 1 species
AGGACGAACGCUGGCGGCGUGCUUAACACAUGCAAGUGGAGCGACGAACCCGGGCUUGCCCGGGGGCAGAGCCGCGAACGGGUGAGUAACACGUGGGUAACCUGCUUCGAUGAUUGGGACAACUCCGGGAAACCGGAGCUAAUACCAAAUGUGCUCGCACCCCAUCAGGGGAGUGAGGAAAGGAAGCUUCGGCCUCCGCAUCGAGAUGGGCCCGCGGCCCAUUAGUUUGUUGGUGGGGGUAAUGGCUUACCAAGACUUCGAUGGGUAGCUGGUCUGAGAGGACGAUCAGCCACACUGGGACUGAGACACGGCCCAGACUCCUACGGGAGGCAGCAGUGGGGGAAUCUUACGCAAUGCGCGAAAGCGUGACGCAGCAACGCCGCGUGAGGGAAGACGGCCUGGUGUAACGUACUUCUA